rnacentral:rRNA from 1 species
UACAGAGGGGGCAAGCGUUGUUCGGAAUUACUGGGCGUAAAGGGCGCGUAGGCGGCCUUCUAAGUCGAACGUGAAAUCCCCGGGCUCAACCCGGGAACUGCGUCCGAUACUGGAAGGCUUGAAUCCGGGAGAGGGAUGCGGAAUUCCAGGUGUAGCGGUGAAAUGCGUAGAUAUCUGGAGGAACACCGAUGGCGAAGGCAGCCCCCUGGGUCAAGACUGACGCUCAUGCACGAAAGCGUGGGGAGCAAACAGG